UAAUUGAAGUAUUAGCCCCGGGGUCAAUGGAUCAUGGGUUCGACUCAAGAACCGAGUAACAAUUGGCGUCUGUGAGCCGAGUACUUAAUUCCACAUUGGUCCAAUGAAUACAGCUGAAACUGAAUUCGAAGAUCAAGGGAGAUGCGGUGCCACAGCAUCGUGAAAGCACCCAGGAGGGGAACAGUUUGCUCCAAUAAACGUAGGAGGACUGAACUAAGAGAAGCCGUCCUGAUUGAAAAGAAAAAUGUUGGAAACAUAAAGAACGUUUGAUGUUACGUCUUUGAAAAAGCUUCCAUUCCUUUCAUCUCUGCAUCUUCAUCCAUAAUUUCGUUCUAUAUUGAAGUCUUGUUAGUUUAGAUGUUUUCUCCAAUUCAAAUAAUUUUUU